CAGCCGCCGCGGUAAUACGAAGGGGGCUAGCGUUGUUCGGAUUUACUGGGCGUAAAGGGUGCGUAGGCGGACUGAUAAGUCAGGGGUGAAAUCCCAAGGCUCAACCUUGGAACUGCCUUUGAUACUGUUAGUCUUGAGUUCGAGAGAGGUGAGUGGAACUGCGAGUGUAGAGGUGAAAUUCGUAGAUAUUCGCAAGAACACCAGUGGCGAAGGCGGCUCACUGGCUCGAAACUGACGCUGAGGCACGAAAGCGUGGGGAGCAAACAGGAUUAGAUACCCCUGUAGUCCCUGUCUCUUAUAC
rnacentral:rRNA from 1 species